rnacentral:rRNA from 1 species
GACGAACGCUGGCGGCGUGCUUAACACAUGCAAGUCGAACGAAGUGGCGAACGGGUGAGUAACGCGUAAUCAACCUGCCCUUCAGAGGGGGACAACAGUUGGAAACGACUGCUAAUACCGCAUACUGAUGGGGGGGCUUGCGUCUGAUUAGCUAGUUGGCGGGGGAACGGCCGACCAAGGCGAGGAACAGUAGCCGGACUGAGAGGAUGAACGGCCACACUGGGACGGAGACCAGGCCCAGAAUCCUACGGGGAGCAGCAGUGGGGAAACUUCCGCAAUGGACGAAAGUCUGACGGAGCAACGCCGCGUGAGUGAUGACGGCCUUCGGGUUGUAAAGCUCUGUUAAUCGGGACGCGGUACCGGAAUAGAAAGCCACGGCUAACUACGUGCCAGCAGCCGCGGUAAUAC